UGCCGAGCGUUUCCGAUCUCAAAGCAAAUUGGAUGAACUUUCGAAACUUGGAAGUCUCUGAUUCUUCGAUCUCGUCCCCGCGACUCGGGGGAAGUAGGAAGUAAACGCGGCGUGAACCGUAAAUCCUGCCAAAACGUGAACGCGACGAAAGUUUCAUGCUCUCAUCGUGAAAUAAACGAGCUGUUUGUUACGAAAGUGAUGUAAUUCCAUCGUCGAGGCUCGGAGGGAGGACUAGAAACGUGAUUAGGGAUUUUCUAGUAAUCACGAUAUACGACAACGUGACCAUUAUCUUCUUAGACAGGGAAGUGUCGGUGAUGGGAAUGUUGGCAGGCCUGCAAGAGGGAGAUUGGCAAGAACAAGUCGGUAUAUUAAUUUGAUUGAUGAUGCGGUGGCUCACGAUCCAAACGUAUCGCGCAGCUUCAAUAAUGCAAACGGUAGACAACGAUCCGCCAAGUCCACCGGCGGUUAGAGCAGUGCUUAGAACGAGGGACAAACGAUUCGAUUCAAUUAAUUCGGAUGCAUCGUUCCGGACGGUCGCGGUGUAGAAACCAUGAGCAGUAAACAAGGGUCCACGUUAUAAUUCGCGGACUCGGGGCCCAGGCGUAUACAUAGAUACAGGCGCACGCACGUACCCGCCAACUGCCAGUGAAUGACGCAAAACACGCGGAUUAUUUUGUCGCGACGACUUUAUUUCGAGACGCGCCGCAUCGCUGCGUCGAAACGCUCGUUUCGCUCGUUUCGCUCGUUUCGCUUGUCGAGCUCUCGAAAUCUCGGUUAUUCCUUUUGGCAUGCGAGAAAUCGUUAUUCACAGACAUUUUGGUAGUUGGUCUCACUUGGAGAGAAAAUGUCAAUGUCUUGGUAACUGCUGAUUAGUUUUUGUAGUUUCAUGAUGUAUGAAGGGAUUUUAUUUUAAUAUCGAAGGAAGGGAUCGAUUACGAAAAAUUAAUCGCCUCUGCCAAUGUUACAUUACGCGCCAUCGUGUUAAUAUUUGCUUUGUUCAUUUUGGAAAGAUAAAACUCCGUGGUCGUGUCAUUGCUUCAAGUUAUAUGUAUAAGAGGACGUGAUCGUGGCCGAGAAAGCGUUACUGAUACACGACAAAUCGGGAGAUCUUUAAGGGACAAAUCGUGCGAGGUUCAGCGCACGUUCCAAAGAGGCGCGGCAGAAUUGUUGCCCUGAAUACAAAAUGACUAAAUGAGUCAAAUAACGCGUAUCCCGACCGAGCAACUCGUGUCGUAAUAUUUUAAUGCUACAUACUCUCCCUCCUCGCGUUCCUGGUUACUAGUUUCACCGUACGAUUCAUCGUGCUGAGUUAUGAAAUUACGCGAUAGCCUAACCUUUCUGUGGUACAGUGGGAAAUUAGUUGGAGGGCGUACAGGUAAGAAGAAGCUUGUUAGAUUCUUCAAAGUCUCGAAGCCAUAGGAAAAUUAUAAAAAGAACCCAGUAAGAUCCCGAGGGGCGGGCAUUGAUGGUGUCAGAGAAGUUUUUGAUUUGGCAGCUUCGAAACUAUACUGGCACAGCCAGUUUUCCACGAAUCAACGGCUAUCGAGGAAUGCCGGCAGUUUGGAAAAAUAAAAUCAAUGGCUACAGUGUGUGUCGAAUCUCGUGCGAUUCCAUGUGGAACGGCUCGUAUACCACACGUACAGUUUCUACUGAACCAGUUUCUCUCUUUGUGCACAACAAUACAGGGAGGCUAACACGUGCAUGUACACACCGCGAGGAAUGGCGCAGCACAUCAUAGUCAGGACCACUACAUAGCGCACCAACAUGUGCGAUGGCUGUGUAAACAUUGUAAACACUGAUCGUGCCGUACAGUGGCUCUCACGCAAAGAAAUUCAUCGCGAGGUUCAGGUGAAUCUCUCCCCUGAUCGAUCGCUGCGCGACUCGCUACGCGAAUCACGAACAGGCUCUGUUAUGUACUUGGACGAGAUGAUUACUAUUGGAAUUGCAAAAUCAAUUUACUUUUUACAUUGUAAGAAUCAACAUUUAUCCCAAGUGUAUCCUCUCCGUUAUAAUUAAUUCCUAUUUGUGACAAAGGUUGUUUCACCUAUUGCAAAUAAAGUAAACGAAUGUAAAAGAAAUGGUAUAAA